UUCAUUGUUUCAUCGUCGGUUACAGCAAGCGUUGUGUUAAAUUGGAUUCGUUAAAUUAAUUUCGCAAAACGAAAAUGUGCAUGGGUUCUACUCCACUGGACGGAGACAAAUGAGACAAGUAUCCUGGACGAUUCAAUGGUUCCAGAUAAAAUAAUGUUCGAGGACAACCGAAAGAUUGAGAUGGAGAAUAUGGAGACCCAAAGUUAACAAGAACCCUCCAAGAAAAAAUGUCUGAAUGGCGUACUGUAUUCAAGUGUUGUCGUUUCUAUUCAUAUAGGUUGCACUUGAUACCGUACAUUUUGUCUCAAAGGACUAUUAUGCAGCUUAAAAAUGCCAACAUGCAAGUAGACUGGUAUGUGCUGCAAUGACAAACAAAAAAUAUACAGUAUCUGCAAUAGUUGAAUACCCAGAUAUCCAGUCAGCAGCUGUAAAAACCAAGAUGACUAAAAUAUGUGAAGAUACAAGGCGCUCCAUGUCAAAGGGAAUGGAUACAGCAGCUAAUGUUUAACAACAGGCGCUUAAUAUGCAGUAAUUUUUUAAUUUUAAAUUGUAAUUAUCUUUGCUAAAGGUAACUUAGCAAAGUGUUGUAAUUUAAUUUUUUAAAGUUUA
rnacentral:lncRNA from 1 species